GGCCUCUAUGGUGCAGUGGAUAGCACGCGCCGACGCGAUGGGUGAAACGCGGGUUCAACUCCCGCCUGGGGUCG